AAUAGCUCCCGUUUACAUUACGUUUACUGUGUGCCCCGCCCGGUGCAAAGCGCUUUACGGAGAUCAUCUCGCUGGAGGCUCUGGCAGGCAAACGCUACUGUUGUCAUCCACGUUUUACAGACGGGGAAAUGGAGGCAAAGAGUUUAACUCCCUCGCCUAGGGUCACUCAACCAGUGCAUAAACUGAGGCUCAGAGAAAUUAACUUGCCCAGGUUAUUGAUUGUUGUCCUUCAAGCUCAAGAAGGACCACAGUGGCAUCACUACGUUGGAGUGAAGGAAUGUCAUGAGUUUCAUCAUGAAAAUCUCCCCUGAAGUAUGAGUCCACGGCAUUUCCAUCAUUGACUACUUCAGAACUCCUAUCAGGAAUAAAAUUAGACCUAUUUUAUAAAGCCAGGAUGCUUUUUCAUAAUUACUGCUGUUUUCUGAAAAUG